rnacentral:rRNA from 1 species
UAUCGCCUGCCCAGUGACUAUUAGUUUAACGGCCGCGGUAUUCUGACCGUGCAAAGGUAGCGUAAUCACUUGUCUUUUAAAUAAAGACUAGUAUGAAUGGCAUCACGAGGAUUAAUCUGUCUCCCUCCCCUAAUCAGUGAAACUGAUCUCCCCGUGCAGAAGCGAGGAUAAUAUCAUAAGACGAGAAGACCCUGUGGAGCUUAAAAUCAAAAAUCAGCUGCUUAACUUCACCCACUCAAGGGAAACACCUUUGCAAACCUGGAAUAGAUUUUUAGCUGGGGCGGCUAUGGAGAAAAAAACAUCCUCCAUGAAUAACUAUGCUGAGGGCUACCGCCCUAGGCAUUAAUAAUUUAAUUUAAAUUGACCCUUUUUGAUCAACGGACCAAGUUACCCCAGGGAUAACAGCGCAAUCCACUUUUAGAGUCCAUAUCGACAAGUGGGCUUACGACCUCGAUGUUGGAUCAGGGCACCCAAGUGGUGCAGCCGCUACUAAAGGUUCGUUUGUUCAACGAUUAAAGCCCUACGUGAUCUGAGUUCAAGAACCGGA